GACGAACGCUGGCGGCGCGCCUAACACAUGCAAGUCGAACGGAGCUUAGAGAGCUUGCUUUUUAAGCUUAGUGGCGAACGGGUGAGUAACGCGUGAGUAACCUGCCCUAGAGUGGGGGACAACAGUUGGAAACGACUGCUUAUACCGCAUAGGCCCACGGUGCCGCAUGGCACUGAGGGAAAAGGAUUUAUUCGCUUUAGGAUGGACUCGCGUCCAAUUAGCUAGUUGGUGAGGUAACGGCCCACCAAGGCGACGAUUGGUAGCCGGACUGAGAGGUUGAACGGCCACAUUGGGACUGAGACACGGCCCAGACUCCUACGGGAGGCAGCAGUGGGGGAUAUUGCACAAUGGGGGAAACCCUGAUGCAGCGACGCCGCGUGGAGGAAGAAGGUUUUCGGAUUGUAAACUCCUGUCGUUAGGGACGAUAAUGACGGUACCUAACAAGAAAGCACCGGCUAACUACGUGCCAGCAGCCGCGGUAAAACGUAGGGUGCAAGCGUUGUCCGGAAUUACUGGGUGUAAAGGGAGCGCAGGCGGGAAGACAAGUUGGAAGUGAAAACCAUGGGCUCAACCCAUGAAUUGCUUUCAAAACUGUUUUUCUUGAGUAGUGCAGAGGUAGAUGGAAUUCCCGGUGUAGCGGUGGAAUGCGUAGAUAUCGGGAGGAACACCAGUGGCGAAGGCGGUCUACUGGGCACCAACUGACGCUGAGGCUCGAAAGCAUGGGUAGCAAACAGGAUUAGAUACCCUGGUAGUCCAUGCCGUAA
rnacentral:rRNA from 1 species